rnacentral:misc_RNA from 1 species
GAUGAAGAACGUAGCGAAAUGCGAUACGUAAUGUGAAUUGCAGAAUUCAGUGAAUCAUCGAAUCUUUGAACGCAUAUUGCGCUCUCUGGUAUUCCGGAGAGCAUGCUUGUUUGAGUAUCAGUAAACACCUCAACUUCCAUAUCUUUUUUGAAAUGGGAGUUGGACUUGAGUGAUCCCAACGCUUUUCCUCACCGAAAAGUGGCGGGUUACUUGAAAUGCAGGUGCAGCUGGACUUUUCUCUGAGCUAUAAGCAUAUCUAUUUAGUCUGCCUAAAAAACAGAUUAUUACCUUUGCUGCAGCUAACAUAAAGGAGAUUAGUUCUUGUGCUGACUGAUGCAGGAUUCACAAAGACAGGCUUCGGCCGACUUUGUAAACUCGAUCUCAAAUCAAGUAAGACUACCCGCUGAACUUAAGCAUAUCAAUAAGAGGAGGA